AAUGUAGUACAGUAACAAGAGAAACCAAACCACAGAUAUGUUAACAUUUUCAGGACUAUUUCCACAAAAUGUAAGUUUCUUUUGC